rnacentral:sRNA from 1 species
CCAAGUGAACCAAUUCACCAGUUACCUGCUGUCCAGUUGGUCAAUGUGGGCAAAACCAUAUGCCUUCGUUUGUUGUUGACGGACACAUGCCCGUUGGGUUUGGGCUGGCACAUUGACUAACAAGUUGAACGGACAGCGCCCUGUGGGCACAAGAGUUUUGGGGUGUUACCGAUGUUGGUGGCCCAAUGGGUGAGCCGACGAUUGCUGUCGUCGGCGGCUCACUGCGCCAACAGAGGUAGUACGCCCGCAGGGCACCCUAACGGCUGUGCUGGCGUCUGUGCGUCGUUUGAGCGGUUGUUGCGCCUUGCGCUGAUAUGCUGACAUGGAGUGUGUAGGCUUCUAUUUCAUGUCGUACGUACCGUACCUGGCGGCAUGUCGGCGUUUGUGUGCUACGUCCGUGGCCGUGAUGAGACGACGUGUUAGGACCCAUGCCUGGCAUUGGCGCGUGGUUUAAGACUUGAUGAGUGCCCGGAGGCACCGCCAGCGUUUUUCUCAUUUUUAUUUAUUUUUUCAAUGCAAUUUGAUUGCACGAAAUAUUCUAGCCUUAUCGGUGGAUCACUCGGCUCGUGGAUCGAUGAAGAACGCAGCCAACUGCGAUAAUUAGUGUGAACUGCAGAAACCUUGAACACAGAACUUUCGAAUGCACAUUGCGCCAUUGGAGUAACAUCCAUUGGCACGCCUGGUUCAGGGUCGUAACCAAAAAAUGCACUGCAUGUGCGUGUUUUUAUUUGCUAAGAUCACGACGCUUCGUCGUGUUCUUGCAUAAAAGUGGAAUGCUACGCUGUGUGGCGGUUGGGUGUGCUGGCGCGAAAAUAUGCUUUCUUUCGCGCUUUACAGACCGUAAUUUAGGCACGCCCUUCGGUUCACAUGCGAUAGCUGAAUGCCUGGCAAAUAGGCAUUUGCAAUUGA